rnacentral:hammerhead_ribozyme from 1 species
AUCUAACCGACGAGUCUUAAAUAGAACGAAACUCACGUCUUUGAU